rnacentral:lncRNA from 1 species
UUCUAGUGCUGAACUUCAAUUUUUCCACUUAAAGCAUUUUUAAAAAUGCUGGAUAAGCGAAGAGAUGAAUUUGAACACAUCUUGACCAUGGUAUUUAGAGUUUUGAAGAGGAAAAUUAUUAGUAGAAUGCCAGCACCAUCUUGGUGUUUUCAGUGAGAUGUAGUGGUUUGCUGGGAAUAUUUCCCACAUUACUUUCUAGAAAGUGCUCCAAAAUACUAAUUUUUACUCUUCUUAAAUUCCUUGUUUUCUGUAAAAAUUAUUCAGAAUUGGUGCUAUCAUAUAAGAAGCCCUGUGAGAUAAUUUCAGAUUAUCUUCUAUUUCAGUUAUCACUUGGUAGGAUAAUAAAUUCUUCAAACUAUCAGUCUCUAGACCUAGGAAGUUAUGGUUCUGCAUAAAAUUCUUAAGAACCCAUUCAUUAAUAUAAUGAAUGCCUUUUAUUCACAUUAAAUGACAAGAUUAACAUUUAUCAGCCAUUGUUCUUCUUUUUCCAUUAACUUUAAGGUGUCUAUUAAAUGAUUUGAGAUCAGAAUGGCAGAAUGAGGUGCAAUUCAAUACAAUGUGAGAACUGGAGUUGAUAUAAUAAGGGUUAAUGAAACAAUUGACUUCUCUGGCCACAUGUGCACCAGACAGUAAAAAGUGUGAAAGAUGCCUACUUCUACCUGCAGUCUGAUGGCUGCUAAUCAAAUUGUAUACAACCAAACACAGUGAAAGAAAUAUCAAUUGUAUGAAUAAAAGGAGUGAAUUAUAGCAGUGAGUCUGGAGUAAGGAAUUAUUAAAGAGACCCUCUACAAUAAAGCAUAUGGACGAUUAUUCUGCGAGAUGGUGUGAAAUCCUCCACAGUAUCAGCUCCAAGACAUAAAACCUCUGAAACAAAUUUUAUUCUUAUGCCAAAGAAUCCGUGUUACAUUAUGGUACAUACAUUAUGGUGAAGCUAAAAAUAAUCAGCAAAGAACUGUGGAAAGUUCUUAGCAUCAGAUUAGUUACAGAAGAUUUUCAUGUUUGUGUUAGGUCAGGCUGGGACAUUAAGCCAAAGCUGCCUGGUGAUUUCUGUAUGACAGUAUCUUUGCACAACUCGGUACACAGAAGCAAACUUUCUGGAACAAAAGGAAUAUUCCAAGUUUCUAGAAAAAACGGCUAAUUGGGAAAAAAAAAAAAAAGAAAAAAAUAAAGUUACCUCCUACAGUGGUGGUAGUAGGCACGACACAGUGGUUUCUCUGUGGCACCAGUUCAAAAGAAGCUCAAAAACAAAUAAAAGAAAAUACUAGUUCUACGAUUGAAGUCA